rnacentral:lncRNA from 1 species
CUUAUUAUCAAUAAUUAUUAUUUUUAUAAAUCAUAAUUAUCAAUUAAAAUUUUAUUUUAGCUGUACUUUUCACCCACACAUUGGAUUUGUCAAAAGACUAGUAUUUAUUAUGCAUUUGUAUUUGAUACACUGUCGACAUAAAAUCGAUAAAUUGACAAUAAAUUAUAUUGUGUCAAACGAUUAAAAAAUCAUUAUAAAUAUUCCAAAAAAAGAAAACUAAAAACAUUGGUGUGUAAAUUUAUGCACCAUUAUAUUUGUAAUACCCAAUUUUAGCCCGGGCUACUUAAUUCCAGCCCAAUAAAUAAAACCCAAAUAAUUCCACAUAAGAAAAUCCAAAAUUACAAAAACAAUUAACCCAAACAGCCCCAAAAUACCCCAAACCUAAAACAUUUUUCAGCAAACCCUAAGCACUAGAAGCCUUCUUUGCGCCGCAGCCACGAUCGCCUCCUCAAUACACGCGCGCCCUACUCCACGUUAGCACCCACAUACCACGUCGCCCUCCUUCACGUCUUCAUGACCUGCAAGUUGAACAAGAAAACAGUAGGAAACGGUUUUGUACUUGGCUAUAAAGCCUUUGAAUUUUUCAUUGUUUGGGGUAGGGGGUUCUUUCUUUUUUUGAAAGAAAUAGAACACAGAUUGAGGAAAUCAAACAAAUAUACAGAAAUCAAAAAAAGCAAUAGAAUACGUUUCAAAGGUUAUUUAUCGUUGUUUCUACUUUGUUUUACUUUUUUUUUAUUCGAAUCUACAAGUAUAAAAUAUAAGAGAGAAUGAGAGGCUUACCGGAGUUAUAUCGCAUUCACGCCGUCGGUGGGCCUUGCUCCGUUGGUCACGAUCAGAUUUUGAAAAUGGUUGGGGGCUUGAAAUGAGCCUUUCGGCUGGAGAAGAAAGGGAAAGUGAGGGAGAUGAGAUAAUGUCCAAGGCAUUUGGGUUUUUUUUUUUAAAAUAAAAGUUAAAAAAGUUUUCUUUAAAACACAAAUUUUAAAGCAGGUUUUAAAUAGUAAAGUAAAACAGCAUGGGGUUUGGAAAAACUAAAGUAGUAUCGGGUUUGGAAGUCCGCGCAUUUUUCUUUAAAUGGGUGAUUUUCACAAUUAGUCCCCAACUUUCGCACUAGCUCUCAAUUGGCCUUAUUUGCAUAUUAUUUGUUU